rnacentral:rRNA from 1 species
UCGGAAUAACAGGAUCCCCUAGUAACUGCGAGUGAAGCGGGAAAAGCUCAAAUUUAAAAUCUGGUGGUCCUCGGCCACCCGAGUUGUAAUUUAGAGAAGCGUCUUCCGCGCUGGACCCGUGCACAAGUCUCCUGGAAUGGAGCGUCAUAGAGGGUGAGAAUCCCGUCUUUGGCACGGAUACCCCGGAGCUUUUGUGAUGCGCUCUCGAAGAGUCGAGUUGUUUGGGAAUGCAGCUCAAAAUGGGUGGUGAACUCCAUCUAAAGCUAAAUAUUGGCGAGAGACCGAUAGCGAACAAGUACCGUGAGGGAAAGAUGAAAAGCACUUUGGAAAGAGAGUGAAACAGUACGUGAAAUUGUUGAAAGGGAAACGCUUGAAGUCAGUCGCGUCGACCGAGACUCAGCCUUGCCUCGGCUUGGUGUAUUUCUUGGCCGACGGGUCAGCAUCGAUUUUGUGCCUCGGAUAAUGGCGAGGGAAAUGUGGCACCCUUUUGGGUGUGUUAUAGUCCCCUGUCGCAUGCGAGGGGUCGGGAUC